AGUUGCCACACAGCAGAGCUGUUGUUGCCCUUCAGUCAGCUCUAAUUUUGAAAUAAUUGAGUGAGUUUUUGCCAUUUCUGCGAACAGCCUCGAACUACAGAGCCACAGCCAAACAUCUUCAUUUGAAAAGCUGCUGCUGCCUCUAAACUCAGACAUGUUGCACACCCCUUUGGAAUGCCCUGGAAAGCAGGUUCCACACUACAGCUGAGAAAGAAAACCUCGAUAACACCAACAGACUACAUGCCAACAAGGAAAAACUGGAAAAUCAAGCUGACUCCUCUUCACAGAGUAACAGCCUGCUUCUGAUCCCAUCAGAGAGGGGAAAAUGUUAUCUUGCACCCCAAGUCAGCAUUUCUUUGGGAUUAGGUCUGCAGUUUAGGAAUUCUGGAAGAGAAGAAAGAAAUGAGGAGAAAAAUCCCUGGAGUUCAAGAAGAUUCCUGAAGUGGAGAUAAGCAAGAGAUACCCAGCUGUAAAGAAGAACUAAUAAUGAUAACUCAACAAUGAUAAUAACAAUAGCAUUGAUAAGGCCUCAAUCUUUAUAAAAGGUUAAGCACGAGCCUCUCCCUUCCAAGGUCCUCCUGGCUCAGUUUCAGCAUCUCCAUGGAGGUGCAGCUUUUUGACACUUCCCAGAAGAGCCACUGUCCUUCACCACCCCUCCCCUCCCCUGCUGAUGGGCUGCAGGUGGCUCUUCUCCCUGCAACAGGCUCUUGCUGCAAGAGGAAUUUUCCUGGGAAGCACUCAUUUUUUUUAACCCUGCCCCUGCCAGAUCCUCCUGCAAAGGAAUCUGCCCCACCACUUCCUUAGAAGCCAAGCACAGCUCUCAGAGGGGAGGCAGAAGCUGCAGCCCAGCCCCUUUCAGUGUUGGUGCUGCUCUCCUCAGCAGCAAGGCCACAAAAUGAUAAAAUUACCAAAAAUAAAUGGCUUUUAACUGGAAGGGGGUGGGUUUAGAUUAGAUAUUAGGAAGAAAUUGAAGCUGGGGAUGCCUCAUCCCUGGAAGUGUUCAAGGCCAAGGCUGGACAGGGUUGGAACAACAUGGUCUGCUCCCGUGGGACACUCAGGGAUGGCAGGGUCCAGCUGGCUGGAGGUGUCAGCAGGAGUUUUUCUGUCCCCCCCUAACCCUAUGGACUGGUUUUAAAUUUGGCCAUGCCAUGCACCAUCACGUGGGCAUAGCUGAGCAGGACUCAGAACCCUUUGUUCCCUAAGGUGCAAAGCUGUUUCCAUCCUCUUACAAUUCCUAGGGUUGGGCUGGCUCCUACAGGGGGGAAUUAAGCCAAGGUAUUUUUAAUUUAGGGAAAUAAGGCAGCUGUGCCCACUUUCCCUUUCCUCAAUUAACAGAGGAGCUCCCAUCCAGCUUAUGAAACACCUAGACAAAUUUAUUCUUCUCCUGUCCUGAUUCUGGAAAAAGCCUUUCUGCUAACACCCAGCACUUCAAAUCUGGCUCCUCACAGUCAGCAGCAAUGGCACAAAUGAUGGCAAACAGUCAGGAGUCAGCUGAACAUCAACAUCACCAGGCAUCUCAGGUCAUGCAUCCCAACAUUCUCCCCCUAAAUUCAGCAGCAAAAGCUUAUCUGACAGCCCUGCUUUCACACUGAGCCUCUGGAAAUCAGAACAGAACAAGGCCCUUCUGCUUUACACGAAAUUAAUUAUACCACCAGAGCAUGGAGUGCAGCUCCAUGAGGCAGGGGGAUAGAUCAAGGCAAUUCAAUCCCUUAAGCCAAUUUUUGUUUUUCAUAGUAUUGAAAAUUCAUAGAGACAGCUAUGCUUAAUAUAUUUCACUUAUGUCCAGUUCCUGACUGGACAUAAGAGAAAAUCACUGUGUGUUCUUAGGGCAGGAGUUGACUGGUCAUGCUUGUGAGCAUCAUUUCAGAUAUAUUUGGAAUUUAGGCCUGGAGUCUUGGUUAAAUGCAAACCUAAUGCAAUUUACAGUCUCUGAAAAACAAAUGAAAUUUUCAAAACUCUGCUCAAGGUGGGUUAAAAAUCCACAGUGAUUUUUAAAUUUUUUUUUUAAAUAAAAGAAGUGCUUGCUUUUACAGAGCUGGGCUCCUGGCAAUGGUAUUUCUCUGCAGGUUUGGCAUGUUUGGUCUGAAGUAAUUUGGGGGAUCAUGCAGCUCACAGCAAAGUGCCUGCCACUUGUUUGCACCUUGGCUGUGCUGUGCAAGUGCUCCAGGGCAAGUGCAGAAGGAGGGUUCAUGAAAACCAGGAUUGCCUUGAGGGGUCUGCUCAGUUUGGGGCACUCUUUCCUCAUAUAAACCCCAAUGCCUUUGGAAUUGCUGGGAAUGGGACCAAACUCUGGGAACUUUGGCUAGAGCAGAUUCCUCAUCUAGGUUCCUCCCACUCUUGUCCAAAUCAGGAGAGGGAAGAAUGGGAGAAACAUCAGAAAUAU